GAAGAUGACCGGGAAAGCUCACACACA
rnacentral:piRNA from 1 species